GCCAUAAUGAUGCAGGGUGUAUAAAUCGGUCCUAGCUUCGCAUUGAAGUCCUUAACCGCGGAAGAUUGAAGAAAAGUGCGUUUGAACACUCGUUGACCCACAGUAAAAGUAGGUAUAGUGGUAAUAUUCGCGGCAAGCAUGGCUAUUCUGCACUCGUCCCGGGUAUUUCGGAAAAGGACGUCGAAUUUCCGUCUCUCAUCCCAUGGAUUGGACAUGCUACGAAAAAUCCGGACCAUGUCCAAGUAAAAGUCCUGGAACUUUUCUUUAGCACCUUGCUUUCGAUUGUUAGCCUGUCGUUCAUAGACGUAAUCAAUGUCAAUUGGUGUGUUCGCAGUGUUCUUUCCAGUUGAUUACGCGACCCAUUUACUGGAAUCUUGCGUAUCUUCAGUUCAUAUUCCAACUCAUCUAUUGUUAAGUGAGCGGCAUUCAUAGCUCGAUAUUGCGACACAAAAUGAGACAUCGCCAUUUUUGAGGACUGCUUGCACAAAAGGACACCAGGACAAUGAAUAAUACAGAAUUUAAAAAGAUAACACUUUUAUUUCAUACACAAUUAUACAAUU